rnacentral:rRNA from 1 species
AUUGAACGCUGGCGGCAGGCCUAACACAUGCAAGUCGAAUGGUAACAGGAAACAGCUUGCUGUUUCGCUGACGAGUGGCGGACGGGUGAGUAAUGUCUGGGAAACUGCCUGAUGGAGGGGGAUAACUACUGGAAACGGUAGCUAAUACCGCAUAACGUCGCAAGACCAAAGAGGGGGACCUUCGGGCCUCCUGCCAUCAGAUGUGCCCAGAUGGGAUUAGCUAGUAGGUGGGGUAACGGCUCACCUAGGCGACGAUCCCUAGCUGGUCUGAGAGGAUGACCAGCCACACUGGAACUGAGACACGGUCCAGACUCCUACGGGAGGCAGCAGUGGGGAAUAUUGCACAAUGGGCGCAAGCCUGAUGCAGCCAUGCCGCGUGUAUGAAGAAGGCCUUCGGGUUGUAAAGUACUUUCAGCGGGGAGGAAGGGAGUAAAGUUAAUACCUUUGCUCAUUGACGUUACCCGCAGAAGAAGCACCGGCUAACUCCGUG